GGAAAAGAAGACACCCUGAUGCUAUUGUAGUGGUGGUGGAGGAGGAUUGUUUCAUAGAAAAGAGAAAAAAGGAGAAGCAGCCAACAAACAAACGGACAAACAUAGCCAACCAAUAAAUAGCCUCGUCUUUUCUCUCUCUCUUCUCGUUCCCCUUUAUCAUCCUCAGGGGCUUCCCUCACUUCUAGGGUUUCCAUGGUUCUCUAGGACCAGCACCAUUUCCCUUCCAAAGGGAUAACUCAAAAAGAUUUGAUCUUUCAAACAUUUCAUGGGCAUUGUUUGAGUUUCUUUCUUCACCCAUUAUCUGGAGCUUUUCCAAUUUCUCUGUGGAGGUUCCGGAGAUGGAGGAGGUCAAGAAACCUGAAACUCAUAUGACAUCAGCUGCAGCUUUUGUGGAAGGAGGAAUUCAGGAUUCGUGUGAAGACGCUUGCAGUAUUUGCCUUGAGGAAUUUUGCGAAAGUAAUCCUUCAACGGUGACUAAUUGCAAGCACGAGUAUCACCUCCAAUGCAUCCUUGAAUGGUGUAGUAUAAUACAUUAUCAAUUCUCUCCCUUUUCCCCUUUGGGCAGUUAUCAUUUCUGCAAAAUUUACUAUUUUGUGUUCUCCAAUAUUAACCACACUUAUAUUGAGGUUAGAAAUUAGGGGGGCGAGGACAAAAAUGAUGCAUCAUUUCAUUUUUGUGUUUUUGUUUUUCUUUUAUCCUUAGAAAUUGAUUAGUUUAACUGUUUAGCCCAUGGAACUCAGUAGGGUUGAUUUAGAGGGAGGAAGGGUAGAGGACUUAUUUGUGAUUGGGGAAAAAUUGACAUUUGAAACAACAAAGACAUACUGUUGUUGCUUGGCAUGGAACGUGGGAGAAAUUUAAUUUUGACAUCACCAUAUCGUAUGUUUUACUCCUGGUGCAAGCAAUAUUAUGGUGUAUAGUUUGUUCUCUGUUAUAAGGCCAUAAGGGUGUUUCUGAUCAUCCUGCUAUUGUUUUCCAUCUCAUCCAUUGGUUUUAUAUUAUAUGUGCAGUUUCUUUUUUUUCCUUUUUGAUUGGUAUGGUAUUUUGUAAAGAUUUCUAUGAAUAGUCACACCCCAAUUGUUUUAACCAGGGCUUCUUUGUGAAAAUUCCUUUAUUAACACUCUCUUGUUUGUUAUCUACAAAAACAAUUAAUAGUUGGGGCUUUCUUUUGUCAGUGUUUGACCUGUUUUUCUAGCAUCAAUAGUUAUGUGUAAAUAUAUCAAUAGAUUUUUUUUCCCCACAACUCAACUGAAGUAUGAUUUCAAACUGAAUGGUCUUAGCCACUUGAUUUGUUUUCAUACCCUGUCUGAGUGAGUGUUAUCUGUUUUAAUUUGUAAAUUUAUAUGAAGUAUUUGGUCCUCUUUUUCCUUUAUAUCAAUCAUAGCCUUUCAUAAAGGAAUAGUUGUCAGCGUUCAGUGUGGAUCAUUGAGGUGUAAAAGUGGCAUGGAGAAGACAAGAGAAAAGAAAAUUUUGACAUUUUACAUGAGGUUUUGACUUGUAGGUGCCAGAGAAGCUCUCAGUGCCCCAUGUGUUUGCAAGCUAUCAGUCUGAAGGAUCCCACAAGUCGAGAAUUGCUGGAGGCAGUAGAACGGGAGAGGAAAAUCAGAGCUGCUACACCUAGAAAUGCCGCUAUAUUUCGUCAUCCUACACUUGGGGAUUUUGAAUUACAACAUGUAUAUUUUCUAUCAUUGCUUGAUUGUUGUUAUUAUUUGGUUAUAGAACACAUUGCAAGCAGUAUCCACCAGAUAAAGUGGAUAUAUCUUUUUUUGCAUUAUAAUGCAGGUACCAGUUGGUGCAAGUGAUUCUGAU
rnacentral:misc_RNA from 1 species